rnacentral:piRNA from 1 species
AAGUGCUGUGGGUCUGUGCCAACCUCU